rnacentral:rRNA from 1 species
UACGAAGGGGGCUAGCGUUGCUCGGAAUUACUGGGCGUAAAGCGCACGUAGGCGGACUAUUAAGUCAGGGGUGAAAUCCCGGGGCUCAACCCCGGAACUGCCUUUGAUACUGGUAGUCUCGAGUCCGGAAGAGGUGAGUGGAAUUCCCGAGUGUAGAGGUGAAAUUCGUAGAUAUUCGGAGGAACACCAGUGGCGAAGGCGGCUCACUGGUCCGGUACUGACGCUGAGGUGCGAAAGCGUGGGGAGCAAACAGG